UACGUAGGGGGGCGAGCGUUGUCCGGAUUUAUUGGGCGUAAAGAGCUCGUAGGCGGUUUGGCAAGUCGGGUGUGAAAACUCCGGCUCAACUCGGAGACGCCACUCGAUACUGCCAUGACUCGAGUCCGGUAGGGGAGUGCGGAAUUCCUGGUGUAGCGGUGAAAUGCGCAGAUAUCGGGAAGAACACCCGUGGCGAAGGCGGCUCUCUGGAACGCAACUGACGCUGAGACGCGAAAGCGUGGGGAGCAAACAGG
rnacentral:rRNA from 1 species